rnacentral:rRNA from 1 species
CCUACGGGGGGCAGCAGUAGGGAAUAUUGCUCAAUGGGGGAAACCCUGAAGCAGCAACGCCGCGUGGAGGAUGAAGGUUUUCGGAUUGUAAACUCCUUUUGUUAGAGAAGAUAAUGACGGUAUCUAACGAAUAAGCACCGGCUAACUCCUUGUCAGCAGCCGCGGUAAUACGGAGGGUGCAAGCGUUACUCGGAAUCACUGGGCGUAAAGAGCGCGUAGGCGGGAUAGCAAGUCAGAUGUGAAAUCCUAUGGCGUAACCAUAGAACUGCAUUUGAAACUGUUAUUCUUGAGUAUGGGAGAGGUAGGUGGAAUUCUUGGUGUAGGGGUAAAAUCCGUAGAGAUCAAGAGGAAUACUCAUGGCGAAGGCGACCUGCUAGAACAUAACUGACGCUGAUGCGCGAAAGCGUGGGGAGCAAACAGGAUUAGAUACCCCAGUAGUC